rnacentral:rRNA from 1 species
GUCUACAACCAUGCCACCUUGAACAAGCCCAAUCCCGUCUGAUCUCGGAAGCUAAGCAGGGGUCAGGCCUGGUUAGUAUUUGGAUGGGAGACCACCUAGGAAGACCAGGUGCUAUAGGCA